AUGAGUCUGUGCUCCCCCUGAGAAGGACAGUGAGAGAUUUACACAGCUGGUCUGUGAGCACAACACAAACUCCAAACUCACGGUCCAUUCUUUCUUUCUCUUUUCAGUAUGCAGUAACAGAGGGCGGUGGGUGCAUAUUACAUUCCCUCCAGCAGUGCUCACCCCACAUCUGAUUCUUGCGAUCUGGGUGGUUUGUGUGUAUAUUGAUUCAUUCCUUCAUCAAAUAGAGUGGGGUUCGAACCCACGAGGACAUGCAUCCAUUGGAUCUUAAGUCCAACGCCUUAACCACUCGGCCAUCCUGGUCACAAUGUUGCUGUUCAGGAAGUGACACCAUGUAAAAGGGAAAACAACAAACAAACAUCAAUGCCAUAUGUCACGUUCUGAUCUAUCUGUGUGCUUAGAGCAGAUGAGUCUGACUCCAGGAUGCAGUGCGUUCAUCUCUGUGAGUUUAUCUGAGGCAGGUCUUUAAAUUCCUCUUGAGGAAGAUAAGAACUGCAAUCUUAACCUGCUCUCUUUUCAAUCUGUCUCUGUCUGUCUGUUUCCUUUUUCUCUCAGUUCAGCUCAAAGUGCUUUACAUUGCAAAAUGAAGUUUCACACUUUAAAAACAUUCCUGCAUUCCUGUUUUCCAUUUUCCGUUUCAAUUAAAGCAAAAAAAAAAGCUAAAAAAUCAAAUCAAUAGCUUUUCUCAAGUGCAAAAUGUUCAUUAAUGGAAUGUAGUGAUUUUAAGUGUGCUUCAUGAUUGUGUGAUCAGUGCUGAAGGACAUCCGCUCAAAGUCUAGAGGAACAACAGCAUGACAUGUCCUUGCUUUUGUAUCUUGACUGGCAUUACUGUAAAGGCAGACAGAUUUGAGUAUAUUUUAUAAGCUGCUCUGGGUUCAUAAAUCAAGGCAAAGCCUUUUUCAUUUACUCCUCUUUAUAGCUCUCCUCCAAACAGCUGUAAACAUCAGUGUUUUCUGGAACGUAUCAAUUUAUUGAUUGAAUCUUCUUAAAAGAAAGCUCCUUUCAUUAUUGCCACACCAGUAUAUCUGUCAAAAGCUCUGGGCAGAAACAUAAACCAUAUAUAUGUUCUCACAAAAAGAGCUUUGUGCUUAAUUAUGAGGGGUCUCAUGGAGCAGCUGUUGUUCUGUUGCAUAUUGUUUGAUGAUGAAUUAUUCUCAUUUCACUGCAUGUGAUAUAUGUGAACCAUUUA